GGGGGGGGGGGGGCAAAUGUCCGAGCCAAGUCCGAAAGGGAAACUGAGGCAUUUAAGGAAACCGCAGCUGGGCCAGAUGUCCGCCCUCCCGGAACCAAGGGGAGGUAAAACGUCAUGGCAGCAGGACACUGAGAUUUCUGGACCCAAGUUACAGCCUCCGGAAAACUGAGAAUGGAACUCAGCAGGCGUGGAUGCGCCGAGGGGCUUGAAGGGAAGUGAAAGGGGAGCCGAAGGAGCACCGGGGACCGGCCGCGGCGCCCACGCUGGGACACAGGACUGCGAGAGCAACAAUUGUUUUCAACAGAAAGAGUCUCAACUACGCUGAAGUUCUCUCGGAUCAUUUUGUAAGCUCUGCUCUCAGGCAUAUGCCGAGAUGAACCACCAGGAAUGCAGAAGACCCAUGGGCCCGUGGGUUGGCUAGCUCCUUAGAGGGAGAGGGUUUAAUGAAACUGAAGACCUUAGAUACGCAAAAGAGAAAACUUGAGGGGCAUCAUCACCAUGCUCGAAUACUUGAUGUGCUGCCACGAGGAAAGAGGAAACAGAAGUAUUCUUUGUGAUAAAAGAGAACCAACUCUUCAAGUUACAGGAAAUUGUUAUUUAUAGAUGUUAUAUAUGCACACACCUAAAUAAAGAAGUGAAAGACUUAUACUAAUGAAGGAAACUAAAUAAGACACAGAUAAAUAGACAUUCGAUGUCCAUGGAUCAGAAGAAUUCAAAUUGUUAAAAUAUCCAAACUACCCAAGGUGAUCUACAGACUCAAGGCAAUCCCUAUCAAAAUCCCAAUAUCAUUCUUUACAGAGAUAGAAACAAUCCUAAAAUUCACAUGAAACCACAAGAGUCCCUAAUGUAAACCAUAAUUUGGGGUGAGAAUGAUGUGUCAGUGUUGGUUCAUCUUUUGUAACAAAUACUGGUGUGGGCUGUUAAUAGAGGAGGAAGCUGUGCAUGUAUAGGGGCAGGAGGUAUAUGGGAACUCUAUGUACCUUCUACUCAAUUUUGCUAUGAACCUGAAACUGCCCUAACAAAUAAUUUUACUUGAAAACCCCCACAAUAGAGGCACCUGGGUGGCUCAGGGGUUGAGUGUCUACCUUCAGCUCAGGUUCUAUCCUGGAGACCCGGGAUCCAGUCCCACAUCAGGCUCCCCGCAGGGAACCUGCUUCUCCUUCCACCUGUGUCUCUGCUUCUCUGUGUCUUUCAUGAAUAAAUAAAUAAAAUCUUUUUUAAAAAUCCCACAAUAUUCCUGAACUUCUAUGUAUCUAAUAACACAGCUUGUUGUAAGAUGUAAGGAUAAAAAGAUAUGUUUUAGAAGAUUAAAAAAAAAACAAAAUAUAAGGAAUAUUGUAAGAAGAGAUACAUAAGAGGCAAAAGUUGGCAGAACUAAGAGAAGAAAUAGAAAAAUACACCAUCAUUUUUUCAUUGGAUAUUUCUUUUUUCUUUUUUUUCCACAAUCAUCAUUGGAUAUUUUAACAAUCUUCUCUCAGUAAGUGUUCAACAAGUAGACAAAAAAAUAAGUAAGGACAUAAAAGAUUUAAUCAACAUAGUAAGUAACCAAUACCUGUUUGUGAGGUAAGUGAAUAGAUUCCUAAAGAAAUUUUGCAUAAAUUUUACUGUGCGUCUUUGGGUAGAUGAGUUGACAGAGUGGGGGACAGUAGGAUAUCCUGGUAGACAUCCUUGGGUCUCUUACAAAGGAUCAAAGGAGAGUACAGGUACCGCACACUACUGCCAGGGGUAUGGGCUCCACUGUGUCUAAGCCCAUACAGCAGUCAUGAUAAAAAAUAAAAAAAAAAGAACAACAACAACAAAAAAAAACACAAAACACUUGGACUUAGAAAAUCAAGUGAAAUAGAUAGUAAAUAUAAACUGUAUUUAUAAGUUGGUUGUUUUCCCUGAAUACUGAGCACACUUGCACGAUCUCUACCGCCAUAGUCCUACAGAGAUUUAUGUUAAGUCUUUGAAUUGGGAGACAAAAUAUUCUACUUUUGAAAGUCGAACAAGAAAGAAGCCACACAGUGGUGGAUGGGAUGCCCUAUUCUUGGGCUGAUAUCUUGCAGGUGCAUUAUUCUGGGACCUCAGGCUUCCCAGGCUGAAGUCUCCCAACAGAUGAGAAAGAUCCUUAGCAGCGAGGUUCCUGGGGGGCCUCGGGUGAUUAUUUGGGGCACAUACAGAGCUUUCCGAAUGAUCCAGGAGAGGGCAAGGCGGCAAGCAUACCUCCGGGUUUCUCCUGCGUAUUUGCUGGUCAUUCUGUCUGUCUGGCAGGACGGAUAAACACGGCCAGAGACCUCAGAAGACGGCACCAGCGGAAUCCAUUCUGUGUGGCUCAUUUGAGACUUCCAGGGUCCCCAGAGGUGGUCACAGCCUUCGUCUCUAGAGAGGGACUCGGCCAAAUCUCAAAACCCGGCAUCUGAGAUGCGCCUUCUGAACCAGUGACUCAGGUUCCCUCCGGCUCCGCCAUCCCUGCUCUGCUCCCAAGGGAAGGCGAGCAGCCCGGGGCAAUCCGGAGAGAAGAGCGGGUCUUGGACGCUUGACGUGACCUGGAAGAGCGGAAAGGGUAAGGUGAGGCCCUGGAGGGGCCCCUGGAAGUGAGACUUGGGGGCGGUUCUUGGCGGUCCCACUCAGAGCCACAGGACCGACCUCGGACAGAUGCACGCUGAGCUCCAGGUGUCCCUGCAGUCCCUGGCUCUGCCUCGCGGCCCCUAGGGGGUUGCCCAUAAGGUGUACCUGCACUUGCUCCUGGGCUGGGCACUCCUGGGGUACCCUCGCCCCUCUGUCGUCAGUCUGUCCAUCAGUCCGUCCUCCGGGGCGGCCAAGACAUGUCCAGCAGGAGACUGAGGGAGGUAGCUGCUCAGCAGCUCAGGGACGGGCCUCCAGCAGCAGGCUGCCCAGCGAAGGACAGCACCCAACUCCCAAGGGGCGCCCAGAGUCUCGGGAUGGGCUGGAGGUCAGGAUCCCAGGAUCGACUCCCUAAGGAGGGCUCGCGCCUUCUGGCUUUAAGGCAAUGUUCCCAGAGGGUGUGCUGGGCGUAACUGGGAGACAUGGACACCAAAUCCCUAUGCAUAUUACAUACAGAUAUGAACCCAGGCACCCGGGCUUCUCAAGGCUUCGGGAAGGAGUUACAGGCUCAUGUCAGUGGCUGGUGUUGGGCCCUAACUGGCCUGGGCCCUAAAUGUGGCUUCUUACUCUAGUCAACCUCAACAGUUUUGAACUGGAUACUUCUUAACUGUGGGAGUCCAGGGCCCUGCAUAUUUGGGAUGUUUUUAGCAUCACUGGCCUUUACCCACUGGGUACCAGUAAUACUGUACCAGUUAUGACAACUGAAAAUAUCUCCAGACAUUCUCAAUGUUCCCUAGGAGGCAAAAAUCAUCCUUAAGUUCUCAGGGUACAACUAAUAUGUCCCACUGUGUGGUGUGUCUCCUCAACAGUGCCUUUUGAAGGUCAAAGUUUUCAAAUUUUGAUGAAGUACAACUAAUCACAUUUUUCUUUUAUGGAUCAUGCUUUUGGUGUUGCAUCUAAAAAAAAAAAAUCUUUCCGUGAUACAAGGUGACAAAGAUUUCAUUCUAAAUAUUUUGUAGUUUUGGUUUGUGAUCCAUUUUGAGUUAAUUUUUUUAUGUGGCAUGAAGUAAGGAUCAAAAUUAUUUUUUGACUUUUUUUUGUUGACAGACUACAUUUCUAAAGUACAUUUAUCAUGACCACUCAGUAACGUAUAGAAUUGUUGAAUACUAUAUUGUACACUUGAAACUAAUAUAAUGCUGUAUGUUAACUAUACUGGAAUUAAAAUUAAAAACAAUAAAAAUAAAUUUAAAACGGCUACCUUUCUCUACUGAAUUGCCUUUAAAACUUUGUCAACCAUCAAUUGGUAAUAUAUGUGUGGUUCUAUCUCUGUAUUCCUGUUCUAUAGGUCUUUUUUUUUUAAUUUUAAUGCCAAUACUGCAGUCUUUUUUUUCGAUACUACAGUCUUGAUUAUAGUAGCUUUUAUACAUCUUGAUGUCAGGCAGAGUGAGUUUGCUCUAACUUUAUUAUUCUUUUAAAAGUUGUUUUGAGCAUGCUAUGUCUGAAUUUUCAUGUGAAUUUAGGAAUCAGCUGGUCUGUUUCUAAAAACAAAACAAAGCCAGAGGUGCCUGGCUGGCUCCGUUGGAAGGCAUGUGACUCUUGACAUUGAGAUUGUGAGUUCAAGCCCCACAUUGGUGUUGGGGCCAGGCGGGAAGAGAAACUCCUCAAGAUGGCGGAUACCCCAAAUGGCUGAGGUUCCUGUCACCACCUCCACCUGGGACGCCAAUGGACCAAUGACCUGCUGACAGCUUGACGCAGACCCUUAGACCUCUCCUUUGGACUUACCCAACCGGACCCAAUGCCCUUCAAACCCCAGAGGAGGAAGUCACCUUUGACUGACCGAAUUGCAAUCCUUCCUUUGCAUGGGGAGGGUCACUCUGACUGGUUGGAUUGCAAUCCUUCCUUUGCAUAUGAGCCGACCAAUAGGAAACCGUUCUGCCUUACAACGUUACGUAAACCCCCUGCCACCUUGUCUUGGCGCGACUUCCCCGACUCAC